CCUGUUCACUGGUUGUUAAAAAUGCCAUGAUGGCGAAAGACGUAGAUGGCGACGGACAAAUUGUCGAUCUCGAGGCUUCAAAACGUCCACAACCUGAUGAGUGACGUCACGACGACUACGUCCACUUCUUAUAGAAAGUCUGUGGUUACAAGUGGUGGAGAAGUGAUCAGGACUGUAUGAUUUGUCCUUCACACUUGGAGAAAUCAGAUUUGUGUUGUAAUAAAGUUCUAUAAGGACAACUGGGGCUCAUCAAGUUAUUCUUUCAUUCAGAGUCAGAAUGAGCUUUAUUGGCCUUUUAUGUGAAACCAUUAACACCUGAUGGAUCUUAACCGACUUCCUUCAUCCUCUGUCUCUUCUGGAGUGAGUCCAGUGUGUGUUUUCAUGUCCAGCGGUCACAUUGAGACUUAAUUAACAUUUGAUUGUGUUUGAUUUCCAGUGUCACAAGAACUACAUCCCCGUGUGCGGCUCCAACGGGGACACCUACCAGAACGAGUGCUACAGGCGACAGGCGUCCUGCAAACAGCAGAGGCUCAUCUCGCGGGUGUCCGACGGGCCGUGCUCCGCCGAUCCUGGUUCUGGUUCAGGAGACGGAGAUGAUGACGAGGGUUCAGGCUCCGACGUCGGGAAGAAGUUCACCAAGUGCAGCACGUGUAAAUAUGGAGCAGAGUGUGACGAAGACUCGGAGGACGUCUGGUGAGUGUUUCACAGAGAUUCUCUGCAGCUGGAAGGAUUUCACUGAAGCUUAGAAACAGUGAACGUAAUCCAGAGCACAACGCCCACAUUCUGCCAUGUCUGCUUAAAAACCCUCCAAUAAGGAUUUGUUUUUGAGUUAUUGUAAUCAAAAUGAAAAAAUCUGUUAAUCUGACCCUCGGUUUAACUUUCGAUCAGAAUCAGUUGAUCAUUUGCAACUUCUCAUUGAAGUUCUCCAGAGC